GACACGCGCCUCUUACCUUCCUGCUUUGGACAAUUGGAAAUCGCCACCCAAGUUGACAGCCCCAGUACACAAGGGGAUUGAAGAGGGAGGGGCGUGUCUGGCCUCGCAGCCUUUAGCUUUGGGAGCUCCUGUACCUUCACCCGGCCACUUCGGAAGCCUCAGCCCUCCCCUUCACCACGUCCCACACAGCGCGAGGGCUGUGUGGCCUUGGACAGGUCGCGGCCACUCUCUGAGCCAGUCCCUCUGACCCCCACCCCAGAAGGUGACCAGCUUCCUCCGCCGCCCGGGGAUACUCACGGGGCCUGGGGCUGCGCGGCGCGCACGCCGUCCCUUAGCGACAGGGGCGAUAGCAGCAAGAGCAGGAACCGGACCAACAGCCCGACCUCCUUCACCAGCCAAUUCUGAUACUUACACGAGACUAGAGAAGCUUCCCUUGCUCCCAGAUAUGCCCCCCAACCUGUGGGAGAUGUUGCUCCUCACCCACCUGGUUCCCUGCUGACCUGGUGACAGCAGUCAGACCAGCUGCAUCCCACACGGCUCUCAACCUAAGAUUUCACUUCCCUACCAGCUGAGAAAUUUUUCAAACAAGCCAAUUGCAUCCUUCCAUGGGAACCAGAGGCCAUCUCACCCUCCUGUUACUACAAAGCCUCUCAAGGUCCUGCCUGUUCAUUCUGCUUCUGAGUGCAACCCCCCUGUGGCCCUGUGUGGCCUGUGGUGUCCUCUUCCCCAAGUUGAGAGUAUAUGUGAGUAAUAAA